rnacentral:rRNA from 1 species
CCAAUAGCGUAUAUUAAAGUUGCUGCAGUUAAAAAGCUCGUAGUUGAAUUUCGGGACUAAUAUAUCGGUCGUGCCUCGGUACGUACUGGUAUUUUUGGUUUCUCCCUUCUGACGAACCUUGAUGUCAUUAAUUUGGUGUCUUGGGAAAUCAGGACUGUUACUUUGAAAAAAUUAGAGUGUUUAAAGCAGGCUCACGCUUGAAUACAUUAGCAUGGAAUAA